GAAUAUGCAUGGGGGCAGCGACGUUGGCAUACUUGUAUCACGAGCUUGGGUUAGCCAGCAGAAAGAAGUGUAAAAAGUUGGCAGGUUGCUUGACGUUGUUGCAGGCAUGGAUAUAUGAGUAC
rnacentral:pre_miRNA from 1 species